CCAUAAGCACCCCCGAGAGAUCAGAGCUGCUGGGGCUGGCUAGCCGCCUGGCUGGCAAGCUUGAGCACGAGGCGGAGGGGGAGGGGUACGACAGCAGCUCUCCAGCUGCGCACGAAGGCUCUAUUAGGUUACGCGAGCACAGCCCGAACCGAACAGCCCUGUUCAUUUGGCCUCCAGACAGCGGAGUUGAUAAGCCGGCUGCUGUGCUCCCGGGAGGGGACACAUACACACACAUACACACCUCGCCGGCUCCGAAGUCCGGGUUACACACGGCCAACUUGCCCCCAGGCCUCAGCCAGACCCCCCAGGCCUGGGCAGCAGGUGUGUGUUUGCUGGGGAGCCUCCCCGGGCCCCCCACCCAAGAACGCCUUUCGGUCAGUUCUACUCCUUGUACACUCUUUCCUUGGCAACAGCUUCACUCGUUCACGUGGUUCGUCUUUCCCCCCCACCCGUCUUAAGCACACACUUGUACACGAAGACAUACAUAAUGAUCUGGUGAGGUGCUGCCCCACCAGCGAGCCUUAGCCCCGUCAGACAAGCUCCCGCCUUGACACCUUGGCCCGCCCCGCCUGCCUGACGCGUACCGGGACGGGC
rnacentral:lncRNA from 1 species